UUUAGAUCUUUCAUUCACAUAUGUAUACUCACCAAGUGAACAUAUGGCACAAAAUAUCCAAAAAGUGCAAUUGGAAUUCCAAUGGCCCACACUGCAUAAGCAGUCACCUUGAAGAUGGCAAAAUUGAAAAUUCUUUUUGGAGGAUUGAACUUUCUC